GAAACGGGUGUAUCCAGACUUUAGUUCCUCCAGGAAAUAUGUAAACGUAAUGUAAGGUAUGGGAUUAAAACGAUUUAUUUCGCUCCGAAAGUAGUAUUCGUGCUCGAAUAUCUUUUCCAUGUGAUUAUUUAAAUCAGUAUUAAGUAAGGAAAUUAGUUGUCAUUGAUGUAGUGAGACUUUGGAUCACCAAACCAAAGUUGGGAGGUUUACAAGAAGGCAGUGGUGUACUACUCUUAAUCAUUUUUCUAAUUUUUCCUUCUUCAUUUUUUGCUUGAACGAGUGUACUGAUGUCUGCUAUGACUAAACAAUAGCCUUUCUUGGUUUGAGUUAUACACAUGUAAGAAUCAUCAUUGCCCAGAGGAUUGUACUCUUCUGCACUUAUUUUGUUGCCCCAGUUAUCAAACAAAGGGAUGGCUCAGGAUUUCCUCCCAGGCAUGGAGAGCUCUGCUAUCUCUGUCCUGAAGAGAGCUGUGGAGCUUGAUCAGAGCUCACGCUUUCAAGAGUCUCUCGUGUGCUACCAGGAAGGGAUCCAGCUCCUGUUAGAUGUACUGAAAGCUGUAAAAGAUGACUCAAAGAAGGUCCACUACAGAGAGAAGAUCAAGGGCUACAUGGACCGAGCAGAACAGAUUAAAGAACAUGUGAACAAACUGAAAGAAGAGGGUAAAUACCACGAGCAGAUUAAGAUAGCGGACAAUUCCACUGGUUUCAGCUAUGAAUCCCUCUUUAAACCAUACAUCAGAGACGGGCUGACUGAAGUCUGGGUGGAGGACCCCUACAUACGGCAUGUCCAUCAGUUAUAUAAUUUUCUUCGCUUCUGUGAAAUGCUGCUGAAAGGCCCAUGUCAAGUAAAGACUAUUCACCUCCUUACCUCACAGGAUGAGGACAGCUCCUCUCAGCAAACCAUGGCCCUGGCAGAAAUAAAGCAGUCACUACAGAGACAAAAUGUUUGUUUGGACUUUCAGUGCUCUUCUACUAUUCAUGAUAGGGAGAUCAGGUUUAAUAAUGGUUGGAUUAUUAAAAUCGGCAGAGGGCUUGAUUAUUUCAAAAAACCAAAGGGUCGCUUCUCCAUUGGAUACUGUGAUUAUGAUUUGAGAGAGUGUCAUGAGACUACUGUGGACAUUUUUCAUACAAAACACACCAAGAAGUCAUAGUCUUCAAAGGUCCUUCCACUGCCUGGCAUGUCUAUAGGGAAUAGGGAUGUACUGUAUCCUCACAAGCAGUCCUCACAGUUGAAGUCAUUAAAACUCAUUUUUUAACCACUCCACAGAUUUAAUAUUAGCAAACUAUAGUUUUGGCAAGUCAUUUAGGACAUCUACUUUGUGCAUGACACGAGUAAUUUUUCCAGCAAUUGUUUACAGACAGAUUGUUUCACUUUUAAUUGACUAUAUCACAAUUCCAGUGGAUCAGAAGUUUACAUACAGUAAGUUAACUGUGCCUUUAAGCAGCUUGGAAAAUUCCAGAAAAUGAUGUCAAGUCUUUAGACAAUUAGCCAAUUAGCUUCUGAUAGGAGGUUUACUGAACUGGAGGUGUACCAGUGGAUGUGUUUUAAGGCCUGCCUUCAAACUCUGUGCCUCUUUGCUUGACAUCAUGGGAAAAUCAAAAGAAAUCAGUAUUUCAGGGUUUUGUGAAUUGAAUGUCAUUAAAUAUAGCACAAUAAAUUGUUAAUUGUAAAUAUUUGAUCAUGGAGAUCUUCUGAUAUGUACAUUAAUUUGUAUUUUCUAAAAGUUAAGAUCCGUGUUGAUUUAUGACAGUUUAUACCUGAUGCUUCAAUUUAGAGAGCUUACUUUUAUUGUUGAUUCUUACUUUUAUUGAUGAUUCUCACCUUCAUCGAAGGUUUUGAUUAAAUGUUAUUGAAUACUUGAUGCUUGUAUAAAAAAAUCUUUGUCUAAACGGAUAUCUUGUUGGGAUUGGUGUAUAUAUGUAUAUAAUUUACUCAUACCUUAUUUAAUGUUAUUGAAUGUAUUUUGUAACAAAACAAAUGGCUUUUCUAAUUAUGUGAUGUCAUGACGUGGUCUAUAUAAGAAAAUGGGUGGAUAGAUAUUUUCGAAUUCGCUGAGGAAAGCCUAGUAGCCUAAACGUCUGUGUUUGUUCCCCCAUGUUAAUUAAAAAAGAAGCAACAAAAAGCUUUGAGUGCGGAUCAUUAUUUUAAUGUUUUAAACGCCUGCAAGUACCAUGUUCAUCUGUACAAACAAUAGUACGCAAGUAAACACCAUGGGACCACACAACCAUCAUACCACUCAGGAAGGAGACACAUUCUGUCUCCUAGAGAUGAAUGUAGUUUGGUGUGAAAAGUGCAAAUCAAUCCCAGAACAACAGCAAAGGACCUUGUGAAGAUGCUGGAGGAAACAGGUAGACAAGUAUCUAUAUCCACAGUAAAACGAGUCCUAUAGCGACAUAACCUGAAAGGCUGCUCAGCAAGGAAGACGCCACUGCUCCAAAACCGCCAUAAAAAAGCCAGACUACAGUUUGCAAGUGCACAUGGGGACAAAGAUCUUACUUUCUGGAGAAAUGCCCUCUGGUCUGAUGAAACAAAAAUUGAACUGUUUGGAGGAAAAAGGGUGGGGCUUGCAAGCUGAAGAACACCAUCCCAACCGUGAAGCAUGGGGGUGACAGCAUCAUGUUGUGGGGGUGUUUUGCUGCAGGAGGGUCUGGUGCACUAUACAAAAUAGAUGGCAUCAUGAGGAAAGAAAAUUAUGUGGAUAUAUUGAAGCAACAUCUCAAGACAUCAGCCAGGAAGAUAAAGCUUGGUCGCAACUGGGUCUUUCAAAUGGACGAUGACCCCAUGCAUACCUCCAAAGUUGUGGCAAAAUGGCUUAAGGACAACAAAGUGAAGGUAUUGGAGUGGCCGUC